UUUCCCAUUUUUUUGCUGCUGUAAUCCCUUGGUGAUAUGAGCAGUUAUACGCGUGGGAUAAAGUAAAAUAGGCCAUUGUAAAUUGAGGUGAAAUACAUUUCAUCUUUUUGCAUGGUCUAGACAUUG
ensembl:snoRNA